GAUGAACGCUGGCGGCGUGCCUAAUACAUGCAAGUCGAGCGAACGGACGCGACGCUUGCUUCUUUGAUGUUAGCGGCGGACGGGUGAGUCACACGUGGAACACCUACCUAUAAGACUGGGAAAACUUCGGGAAACCGGCGCUUAUACCGGAUAAUCUUUUGCACCGCAUGGUUCAUAAGUGAAAGACGGUCUUGCUGUCACUUCUCGAUGGAUCUGCGCUGCAUUAGCUAGUUGGUGAGGUAACGGCUUACCAGGGCAACUAUGCAUAGCCGAGGUGAGAGGGGGGUCGGCCGCACUGGAGCUGAAACACGCUCCAGGCGACUGAGAUACGCAGCAGAAGGGAAUCGGCCGCAAUAGGCGAAAGCCUUGCGCAACGACGCCGCGUGAGAGAUGGAGAUGUUCGGAGCGGAAUACUGGGUUAUGAGGGAAGAACAGAUUUGGAAGGAAAUGUGGAGAUCUUGACGGUACCGGGUCAGGAAGCCACGGCUAACUACGUG
rnacentral:rRNA from 1 species